AAGGACAAUGGAGAGUUUGAUCCUGGCUCAGGAUGAACGCUGGCGGCGUGCCUAAUACAUGCAAGUCGGACGCA
rnacentral:rRNA from 1 species